AAUUCGCCCUUGAGCACGUAGGUGGGUUUGUAAGUCAGGUGUGAAAGCCUUCUGUUCAACGGGAGAAUUGCAUCUGAAACUACGAAUCUUGAGUGUAGGAGGGGAGAAUGGAACUUCUGGUGGAGCGGUGAAAUGCGUAGAUAUCAGAAGGAACGCCGGCGGCGAAAGCGAUUCUCUGGCCUAUUACUGACACUCAGUGUGCGAAAGCUAGGGGAGCAAACGGGAUUAGAUACCCCGGUAGUCCUAGCCGUAAACGAUGGGCACUAAGUAGAGGGGAUUACCGACGUUCUCUCUGCCGUAGCUAACGCAUUAAGUGCCCCGCCUGGGGAGUACGGCCGCAAGGCUAAAACUCAAAAGAAUUGACGGGGGCUCGCACAAGCGGUGGAGCAUGUGGCUUAAUUCGAUGCAACGCGAAGAACCUUACCGGGGCUUGACAUGGUAGAAGUAGGAACCUGAAAGGGUAACGAACGGUAUCCAGUCCGUAGCUAUCACAGGUGUUGCAUGGCUGUCGUCAGCUCGUGUCGUGAGACGUUGGGUUAAGUCCCCUAACGAGCGAAACCCUUGUUUUUAGUUACCAGCGGGUUGUGCCGGGUACUCUAGAAAGACUGCCGUCGUCAAGACGGAGGAAGGUGGGGAUAACGCCAAGUCAUCAUGGCCCUUAUGCCCCGGGCUGCACACGCGCUACAAUGGUCGGUACAAACGGAAGCGAAGCCGAGAGGUGAAGCGAAUCCAAGGGCGAAUU
rnacentral:rRNA from 1 species